AAAAAAGAGAGAAAGUAAAUAUAACAUAUUAGAGAUAUAAACAAAUUAAAACCAAUAAAUCAACAAUAACUUUCUUUAAAAAAAUAACAAAAAAAAUGAAAGUAAGAAUAGAGAAAAUAUGUUAAAAAAAUGGAAAACAGUUGAGAUAAUAUAAUUGAAAAUGAUUUUCAUACAAUAAUUUUCUUUUGAACAAUAAUUUCAUUAUGGUGUUCUCUUUGAUACAAUACCUAAAACUAUUCAUAGUCCCUCCCCAACUCUUAAAUAUGAGAAUAAUGCACUUCAGUGCCCUUGAACUUACGUCCUCUUACAUUGACAAUAAUACCGAUAAGAAUCGAGCUAAGACUCAAUCGGCUUUCAUACAAUAAUUUUGAUAAUUUAUAUAGAUUCUUUUAGAGUUGUUCAAAAAUUAAAAAAAUUAACUCCAUUUAGUGUUAUUUUGAUAUAUUUUUAAGUUUUUAUUUUAUUUUAUUUCAUUAGUUUGAUUAAUAUUUACUUAUUAGUUAAAGUUUAUUUUAUCUAUUAUUAUUUUUACUAUAUACCAAUUCUAGUAUCAAGUAUCAAGAUUCUAAAUGAUAUCAUAAUUUUAAUGAAUUUGAGUCUAUAUAUUUUUAUACCAUGAUAUUACUUACUAAAUACUUUUUAAAAAAAUAUUUUUAUUAUAAUUUAAAUUUAUAUAUUUUCUAUAUCAUAAUAUUAACGGAUCUAAAUAUCAUUUAAAUAUAUAUUUUCUACUUUAUAAUAUCAUAUUUAAAUUAAACAUUUUAUUGUUCUCAAAACAUUUUUUAAUAACAAUGCUAAACAUUUCAAACUUUUUUAAAUCAUUUUUCCAUCACACUUUGCAAUUUCAAUGAUAAACUGACCCAUAAGCUUAUUCGAUCUCUCUCAAACUCAUUCGUAUUUUAAUAUUGUGAUGCUAAAACAUUGAUAGAAAAAAAAUAUUUUGAUGUUUAAUAAUUUAUAAAUUGAUCUCUCACUAUUUAGAUUUCUAACAUAUAUAUAUUUUUUAAAUUUAAAAUCCACUUUUGACCAAAAAAUUAACAAGACGAUUAAGGGUGGGUUUGAAUGAGCGGUGGGGUGUGGUACAAUGCAUUUAGCUUACUUUUUGUCUCACGCUAUAGUAUCAUUACAAUAUCUUAUCUCACUGCCACCUCUAUUUUUACACUAAUCGCGAGUAAACGCAUCAUCCAUCCAAAUUCACUCUAAAAGACGUUUGUAUCAGGGAAUGUUUUGAUAGCCUCUAGUAAUAAAAUUAUUCUUUAUUUAGAUUAUUAUUAAUAUGUUAUAUUAUCUUAUUUGAUUUGUUUGAAGAGUUUAUUUUUUGAUGGAUAUAAUAUAAGAUUAUAUAAAAGUACAUUUUAUUAAUUUAUUUUUAUAAAAAAUAUUAUUAUUAUUUAUUACAAAAUGAAAUAUUUUCUACUUAGGCCUAUCCAUGGAUCGGGUUGAGUGUUCGUUCGAAAAGUGGGAGGGUCUGGAAAAAAUAUACAUCCAAGAAAUGUGCUUGGAAAAAAAAAGGGUUGGGUCGGGACUCGGGUAAGUUUUUUUGGCCCAGGAUUAGCUCGAAUUUGCAAAAAGAAAACUAUUAUUUUGCUGUUGUUUUCCCACUGUUUUGCUACCAUUUCACUGUUAUAUUGCUACUAUUUUGUUGUUAUUUUUUGGAUAUUAUAUAACUCUUUUAUUGUUAAUUUUACUACAAUUUUGAAGACAUUUGCUUGUUAAGUUGCAACUAUGUUAGUGUUAUUUAAGUAUAAAGACCUUUUUUUAUAUGUAUUUUCAAUUUGUUGGAAAAUAUUUAUUAUAAUGUUUUUAGUUUAUUUGAUGUAUUACGUUUUUAAAUUCAUUUUUAUAUAAACAAUAAUUAAAAAAAUUAAUGCGGACCAAGUUGAGCUCAAAUUUAGUAUUUUUAUCCGAACCAAAAUUUAGGAAAAAAAUUUAGGUCUAUUUUUUGGGCUAAGUCCAAACCUAUCAAAUAGGCUUAAAAUUUUGUUGGGCUCAGUUCGAACCCAAUCUAACCCAUAAACACCUUUAUUUCUACUACGAAGAGUAACAUAUUACAUGGAUUUAUGAUUUGAACAUAAGUUUAUUUUAUUUAUGAAGAAAUUCAAAGUUCUAUUAGCCUAGAAGAGAGAUGUGCAUAUUUCCCCAGAAAUUGUAUAUUUAAGUGAAAUUAGCUUUGACAACACCUUGUUUGUAAAGAAUAAUUCUCAAACCCUAAACUAGUCUCCCACGUCUUGCGUAUGAUGUUUCAUUUACUCAAGUCAUGGGCCCAAAAAAGGAGCAAAAUAAAUAAAUAAACGAUGAAAGAAAUGAAAAUCAAAAGCAGAGGAAUCACAAAAGUGAAAAGAUUACAAGGACCCAUGUGGGGUUGGUAGCAAAAAAAGGUGAAACUACAUGUAAUUUAGUUUAACCAAAGGCGACUUAAUUUUAGAAAGUAUUAAAAAUGCAAUUUAUCCGUUGGAAAAUUUGUUCAAUCCUUUAAUUUAUACUCACCCUAAAAAUAAAAAUAUAUGUUAAAUUUAGUCGAUGAUAAUAAAAUUAUAAAUUAAUACAUAAUAAAAUUAUAUUUAAACUUCUUAAAAAAUUAUAAUUCAAUUCUUCUUAAUUAUAAAAUGUAAAAUUUUCGCCAACAUUACCUACCUUAAUCCAAACGUAGAUGGAAUCAGAUAAUAAUCAACAUUGUAAUUCACAACUCCUAUUUCUAUUAUCAUAUCAUAUAGGAAAAAAUAAAAUGAAAUACACUUACUCAAAUGUAAGG
rnacentral:lncRNA from 1 species